UGGGGAAUAUUGCACAAUGGGCGCAAGCCUGAUGCAGCCAUGCCGCGUGUGUGAAGAAGGCCUUCGGGUUGUAAAGUACUUUCAGCGAGGAGGAAGGUGGUGAGCUUAAUACGCUCAUCAAUUGACGUUACUCGCAGAAGAAGCACCGGCUAACUCCGUGCCAGCAGCCGCGGUAAUACGGAGGGUGCAAGCGUUAAUCGGAAUUACUGGGCGUAAAGCGCACGCAGGCGGUUUGUUAAGUCAGAUGUGAAAUCCCCGGGCUCAACCUGGGAACUGCAUUUGAAACUGGCAAGCUAGAGUCUCGUAGAGGGGGGUAGAAUUCCAGGUGUAGCGGUGAAAUGCGUAGAGAUCUGGAGGAAUACCGGUGGCGAAGGCGGCCCCCUGGACGAAGACUGACGCUCAGGUGCGAAAGCGUGGGGCAGCAAACAGGAUUAGAUACCCUGGUAGUCCACGCUGUAAAACGAUGUCGAUUUUGGAGGUUGUGCCCUUGAGGCGUGGCUUCCGGAGCUAACGCGUUAAAUCGACCGCCUGGGGAGUACGGCCGCAAGGUUAAAACUUAAAUGAAUUG
rnacentral:rRNA from 1 species